GAGUUCACAUACAUGUAUAGUAAUUUCUGAUAUCAUACUUUCCAACAGACAGUAGUGUAUAGUUAUAUUAAUAUAUAUUGUAAGUUUUGGUGUCGAUAAAAUCAUUUGAUAAUAUGUAAUAUACUGUGUAAACUUCCAUAUGUUAAAUUAAUAAUCAGAUAUAGCUGUACAAAAGUAAAAAAUAAUAGUAUGGUAAAAGGAAUUACAGGUUAAUUGCGACACGAUAUGUAUACGAACCAAUGAGAACAUGGGUUUCAGGAGAAGUAAUAAUUAUAAUUGACUGGUUUGAAUGAUGAGUUACAUUAUAUGUAUAGUGUGUGAUCAUCGAUACCGGAGUGUAAUUGCUAUAUUAAAACUGAACGAAUUUCGGUGAAUGAUCGUUGUAUCAUAGGAACGAUUUGUUCGGUUUGUAAAACUGAGAUGAUAAACUGGCGUAAUCGUGAUUAUUUGAUUAUUGUUAUUCACGUAAUCAUAAUUAGAAUAGCGGGCUAAUUAUAGGUUUCUUAUAUACGCAUGCAUUCACUGUAAAAGUCUAGCCACAUUAUGUUUAGAAAUACUUUGCAUUGGCAGAACCCACAUAACAUGAA